rnacentral:lncRNA from 1 species
AUGGAAGGGCUGGUGCAGCUCGGUCUGAUCUUCUUGCUGACCUGCACCCUCCACGCCUUCCCGCCGGAGAUGGACGACGGCCGCGCUGUGGACCAGGCCGCCGAUGGGCUUCCCGAACUCGGGGACAGGAGGGGACAAGAGCGUGCCACCUUCACCCCGAUGGGCGAUGUGAGGGGGAGCCUGAAGAAGAAGGGGAGGGCAGGACACACGUCUCUAAUCGCCGGUGCUGCAGUGCUCCCAAAGCCACCCGCUGUCACCAACACCCCUGAUGGCCAGCAGGAGGUGAUGAGACAGAAGCGACAGCUGCAGAACAACAAGAAGACCAAGGCGAAGAAGGGCCGCCCCGGAGGAAUGUCUCCUUUAGGGUCCGUUCGGAACCCGGGCGGCUGAAGAUGAAGAUCGUCUCCACGCUGCUUCUCUGUACUCAGCACGCAGCCCACAUGUAACCACAGCCAGCUUUCUGUAUCCGAGAACCUGCAAAAUAAAUGCUGGAACAUCUGACCA